UACCGGCCUACCAAGUGCCUUUGGCGACCGCUAACAGCAACUGUGGAACAGUGCAGUGCCCUUUUUGGAGCAACGUACGAGUAGUGCCCGUGGAUUAUGACCCCGCGACCCCAAUCUACGUGGCGGUCCGCAAUUCGCUACUUCAUACUGACUGGCGUCCGGCAUCGUCCCGAAUUUGGCCGCAAUCUGCUCUCGGGACCCCUAUAGGGCUCCCUGACCUGCUCCAUCUCCGCCAUCGUCAAUGUACUGCGCAUCCACCCAGGCCAGGACUGCACUUACUUACGGGAAGGAGUAUUUGCAAGAUGGAACCUGGGAACUGGAAGACGACGAAGAAGAAGCGUGGGAAUCCGGCGGCAAUGGCUCGGAUGACUGAACUUACGGGAAGCUCGAAGGAGUGCUUCCAAGGUGGGAGACGAAGAAGAAGAAGCCGCUGAAUCCGGCGGCAAUGGCUGGGAUGCUGUGUUCUCGAGAAGAAGCGUUAUUUCUGCAUUCCAAGAAGGACGGCACAAUGUGUCGGACUGUCCGCGUCGCAUUGAACUGGUCUGAUGAGGCUGCUAUUGCACACACAGUGAGGGAACUCCCAUACGGGAACUCGGAAGUACUGCUACAGUACAGGUACAUCAUCCCGUGACGACCACAUCGAAGUCUGAAUUUGAAGUGCGAAGAUGCUUCAGCAACCCCUUCAUAUUUUUCCAUUGCUUUUAUUGUGCUUCUACUGUGCAUGUGUGUAACUUGUGGGGUAUGCAUUGUAGAUAUCGUACAUGCAGUUGUAUGUAGUACUAUGUACGCACGUGCAGGCAUGCACGUGCUUGUACCGCUUUAUGUAUAGCACGAGAGAGAUGACAUGGCGCACUUCUGAUAGAGAAGUAAAGAAGAUCUGUUUAGCACAAUGGCUGUCUUGUGAGGGACUGAAUAGAUGUCUACAUUGGCGCAGUGAACGAAAAUGACAAAGGGCAGGACGCCCAAGGAAUUUAUUCCUGACUAUGCUGCGAGCAACGUCGGUGCUGAUUUUGAACUCUGGCUCGAGGACAUAAAUGAUUUCCUUUCAAUCAGUGAAGUGACGGCAGCAGCUGACAAGAAAC